rnacentral:rRNA from 1 species
CAGCCGCCACGGUAAUGCGUAGGGUGCAAGCGUUAAUCGGAAUUACUGGGCGUAAAGCGCACGCAGGCGGUUUGUUAAGUCAGAUGUGAAAUCCCCGAGCUUAACUUGGGAACUGCAUUUGAAACUGGCAAGCUAGAGUCUUGUAGAGGGGGGUAGAAUUCCAGGUGUAGCAGUGAAAUGCGUAGAGAUCUGGAGGAAUACCGGUGGCGAAGGCGGCCCCCUGGACAAAGACUGACGCUCAGGUGCGAAAGCGUGGGGAGCAAACAGGAUUAGAUACCCCAGUAGUCCCUGUCUCUUAUAC